GCUUUCUGGCUUCAUCCUUCCCAACACAUAUGUACGUCUGUUGACUUCUUCUGAGACCUUGGAUCCAGAAGACCUGUGUUGCUUGGUCAGCUGCAUGAGAUGGAGACUGCUUUUGAUGGCUUCUGGGAAAAACACCAGCUAAAAAUGGAACAAUAUUUACAACUCUGGAAAUUUGAGCAAAGUUUUCAAGAGGUCAAGAAUGCCAUUGAAUUUUUAAUGGGUCAGCAAGCAGAGCUGCCUGACACUGGCUACAGCAACCCCCAAGUGAAACAGAGGCUCAAGGACUUGGA